rnacentral:rRNA from 1 species
AACGAACGCUGGCGGCAUGCCUAACACAUGCAAGUCGAACGAGACCUUCGGGUCUAGUGGCGCACGGGUGCGUAACGCGUGGGAACCUGCCCUUAGGUUCGGAAUAACUCCCCGAAAGGGGUGCUAAUACCGGAUAAUGUCUUCGGACCAAAGAUUUAUCGCCUUUGGAUGGGCCCGCGUUGGAUUAGCUAGUUGGUAUGGUAAAAGCCUACCAAGGCGACGAUCCAUAGCUGGUCUGAGAGGAUGAACAGCCACACUGGGACUGAGACACGGACCAGACUCCUACGGGAGGCAGCAGUGGGGAAUAUUAGACAAUGGGCGAAAGCCUGAUACAGCAAUGCCGCGUGAGUGAUGAAGGCCUUAGGGUUGUAAAGCUCUUUUACCCGGGAUGAUAAUGACAGUACCGGGAGAAUAAGCUCCGGCUAACUCCGUG